rnacentral:rRNA from 1 species
AACGAACGCUGGCGGCAUGCCUAACACAUGCAAGUCGAACGAGACCUUCGGGUCUAGUGGCGCACGGGUGCGUAACGCGUGGGAACCUACCCUUAGGUUCGGAAUAACUCCCCGAAAGGGGUGCUAAUACCGGAUAAUGUCUUCGGACCAAAGAUUUAUCGCCUUUGGAUGGGCCCGCGUUGGAUUAGCUAGUUGGUAGGGUAAAAGCCUACCAAGGCGACGAUCCAUAGCUGGUCUGAGAGGAUGAUCAGCCACACUGGGACUGAGACACGGCCCAGACUCCUACGGGAGGCAGCAGUGGGGAAUAUUGGACAAUGGGCGAAAGCCUGAUCCAGCAAUGCCGCGUGAGUGAUGAAGGCCUUAGGGUUGUAAAGCUCUUUUACCCGGGAUGAUAAUGACAGUACCGGGAGAAUAAGCUCCGGCUAACUCCG